GUAUUAGGAACAAGAAAAAAGUUUAUUGUAAACGCUGCAGUACUGGGUCAACAAUUUUACCAAGCUAAAUUAACUUGGCUCCUUCAGAUCAUCAUUAAUUGCUAAGAGUCAAUCUGGUAGUGUUCUUGAAUGCUGUUCUAAGAAUAAAUGAAGUCAUCAGAGUCAAUUUAGGCAGUGGAGUUACUGAGUGUUUGGGAUUGAUGUUAGAUUAGAUGUGGGCCAGUCAUCAGAAGCUCAAUCCAAAUAAGACAGAGGUUUUAUUGGUAGGUGGGUCAUGUAACCAGAGGGGAGGUGUUCAGUAUGUUCUGGAUAGGGGUUUUGAUUUCCUUUUUCUGCAGAGGGGCAUCCUGAUAGACCAUUUAUUUUCCAUAGGAGGACUGCCAUCAAGCUGUUAUAGCUCCAUCUAUCGUCCGAAGGCAAGAAUGUUUUUGAAGUCAAGACUAGGGGCAUUAGGCCCCUCCCACUCUCCAGUUCAUUCUUGCCUUCGUCUGUGCAAGUUGGAUAUAUAGCUAGCGUCUAGGUAAGUUUUUGUGUAUUUGUGUGACAGGGUGUGGAGGUUUUGUGUGUGUAUUCCACGUUAUUUCCUUCCCUCUGUCUUUUACUUUAGAGUCUGUGGGACUGACUGUACUUUGUUUGUCUUUAUACUUAAGGGGGAUCCCCUUUUUGUCUAUUUUUUUCCCUUAGUCCCUAGCUAUUUACUGGGAGACCGCGGCUGCGGUUCUCCCUUCCUAAGGUGGCGGACGCAGCCUUGUUACGGGAGCUUGCGGCUGCAGCUCCCUGCCUAGCCGAAUGGCGAUUCUGGGAGACCGCGGCUGCGGUUCUUCCUUCCUCAGCCGGCGGAUGCAGACUUAAUCCAGGAGCUUGCGGCUGCAGCUCUCUGCGUUGCGCCGCCGCUCUUUUUUCAACUCGCUGCCUAUUUUCGCGGCAGCUCCCUUAGUUUUUUCUCCAGAGCCUGCGGCUGCGGCUCUUUCUACUUUCAGUGUCCCUUUCUGGUUGGGCUGCCCCGCCUCCCCCGGCUCGUUCUGCGGCAUUUUAAAUCUCGCCGCGACUGCCUUCGGAGCCUGCAGCUGCGGCUCCUUAUUCCCCUCGCUUGCUGAGUCUGUCCUGCGGCUGUAGAGAUCUGGCUCGCUCUCUAAGCCGUGAUAGCGCUUCUCAGCCCCGCGGCUCCAGAGUGUUUUUUGAGGCUGUUUUUUGAGCUCGCUGGUGCUCCCCUGUGACCGCCAUUGCUUCUUCAUUGCCCCAAGCCUUUCUGAUUGGCCAAUUUUCCCGCUCUUUUCGCGGGCACCAUUUUGUUCCUCCCCCUUUUCCCCCGCCCUUUCUGUUUGUCCUUUCCAUAGUAAAGGAUUCUGUUCUAGGCCUUUUCUGUCAGUUUCUGCCUUUUCUGUCAGUUUCUGUGUGUAUGCUGCAGAGCAGAACCUCUAUAAAAGAGAGGCAAGAUGGCGACGGGAGAGGAUGCUCAGUAAGGAGCUCCGCGUUUCAUCCUUAAAAUACUUUAAUGCCAUCGAUACCAUCAUUGCCAUCUGCCUACCUGUCUGCCUGUUAUUACGGGCUGGUUGUUAGCUGUAUACCUGAGGCUGUUGUUGCUGUCGUCGCCCGUUGCUGUCGCUGUCGUCGUGAGCUUGCUUUGCACCAUCGUUGCGUCGGGACUGCUCCUUGGGGUGUUACUGGGCUGUUGCUUUUUGUUGUUGGCGCUUGCCGUUCGUCUGCUGCUGUGGGUCGUGUUGCCCGGGGCGUCGUCGUUGCGGCGGGCCCGUCUGUGUGCGGGUGUCGUGGCCGCCGCUUCUGCCACCCGAGAUAUCAUCACGGCGGCUUGUGCUGCCGCCGCCGUUGCCACCUCUACCGUCGCCGCUGCGAUUUCUGUGCCGCUGGUUGCUCACCGCAGGCUGCGGUGAGCACCGGCCUGCCGCCAGUGGUGAGAGCACUGGCGAGGCGGCCGGACUCGGCGCGUUGUGGGUGGAGUUCGGGGCGUCGCGGCGAGCCUGGAUCCUGUGAUGGUGAGAGCAUCGUGGAAGGGGACCAGGCUCACGACGUGGAGGACAUCGUGUGAAGCGGCACGGAUGGUGGAAAGAGACUAGGCUUGAACAAUACAGAUGCCCGAGGGAACGCCCAGGAGCCGCAUAGCAACUCGUCGGUGGUAAGAGCGCUGACGAGGUUGAUUAGGCUUUGGGCGCAGCCCGGUGCGGAGUGGCGGCGACGGGAGAACGCCGCACCGAGCGGCCAAGUGUGGGGCUCUGUUGGAGACAUCCUGGCUGGGUGGUGGUGAGAGCACCGCAGGAGGAGGCCAGGUUAUUGUCGUGGCCUGGCUGGCGGCGGCGGCGGAGGGAGGAGAAUGCGGCACAGGACACUUUCCAGUACUGUUGAGGACAUCUUUUGUAGACAUGGCUUGUUAUGGAGGAGGGUUUUAACGUUGGUUGUUAUUACUGUUGAUUGGUUGUAUGUUAGUCUGUUGUUUGUUUGUUGUUGGUUGUUGUGUGAAUGAGACUGAGUGGAUGUGUGUGUGUAUUUUUGGGUUUUGUGUUUGUUUUAAAUGUUUGCUGUGUUUAUACUUAUUUUAAGAUGUGCCUGGGAGAACGUACUUCGGGUUUAGCAAGUGGACUUUCGGGGGCCCCAAUUAACGUAGUGACGGGUAAUGGGAGGUAUGGUGUUGGGAGGAGAACAUGCCAGGUAAGGGGAACUCGUCCCAGACAAAUUGUGUCUGUGCCCUGUUCCGGUUCUCCUCAUACCCACAGGACUGUUGGUUGUACUAUCAGCCAGCUCUCGGAUCUCCAGGUGCUGCUUUUAAAUGCAAGGUCGGCCGUUAAUGAAACUCCCCUUAUCCACGAUUUGAUUGUGGAGAAGGGUGCCGAUCUUGCAUGCAUUACCGAGACCUGGGUGAGCGAGCAGGGAGGAGUUGCUCUUUCCCAGCUUUGCCCACCUGGGUAUUCGGUGCAGUACUGCGGUAGAUCUGAGGGCCGGGGAGGUGGGGUUGCUGUGGUCUAUAGGAGUUCUUUCUCUCUCACCAAGCGCCCUGUCCAGAUGGCGAAUGGUCUGGAGUGUCUUCAUCUUGUGCUGGGCCAAGGAGACAGACUGGGAAUACUGUUGGUGUACCGCCCACCUUGCUGCCCAACGGCUUCCCUAGCUGAGCUGACAGAGAUAGUCUCGGAGGUAUUGUUGAGGUCCCCUAGACUUGUGGUACUGGGGGACUUCAACAUUCAUGCCGAGACUGUCUUGUUUGGGGCGGCUCAGGACUUCAUGGCCUCCAUGACAACCAUGGGGCUGUCUCAAAUUGUUACUGGCCCGACGCAUGUAUCAGGACAUACUCUUGAUUUGAUCUUCGCCACUGGUCAUGGAGAUGGUGAUCUGAGGGCGGGGUAUUUUUCAUCUACUCCGUUGUCAUGGACAGAUCACCGCUUGCUGAGUUUUGGACUUACGACAACCCUUUCCCUCUGCAGAGGUGGGGGACCUAUUAAGCUGGUCCGCUCCCGGAGGCUUAUGGAUCCUGUAGCUUUCCAGACGGCUCUGGGAGUCUUUCCGGCUGAUAGUACUGGCGCUCCUGUCGAGGCCCUGGUUGACCUGUGGAAUAUGGAGAUGACCCGGGCCAUUGACACGAUCGCUCCCGCGCGCCCCCUUCAGUGCAGAACUCAUACAGCACCGUGGUAUACCCCGGAGCUGAGAGUGAUGAAGCAAGAGAGAAGGAGGCUAGAGUGCAGAUGGAGGCGAACUCCUGACGGAUGUAGUCAUGCUUUGGUAAGUGCUUCCACUAAGAUGUAUGUAAAAGCGGUUAGGGCGGCAAAAAAGUUUUAUUUUGCUGCCACCAUUAGAUCAUCUCUUUGCCGCCCAGCGGAGCUGUUUAGGGUAGUACGUGGGCUGUUACAUUCUGGCUGUCACGAUACUAAAGAAACAUCGGAAGCCCGCUGUAACGAAUUUGCGGAGCACUUCCAGGACAAGAUUGCAUGCAUCCGUCGGGACUUAGACUCUGAUGUUAUAACAGAAUCCAUUGAGGUGUCCAGAGCGCGGCCUUGUCCUUCAUUAUUGGAUGAGUUUCAGUUGGUGCAGCUCGAGGAAGUGGACAAGGUGCUUGGAAUGGUGCGGGCGACCACAUCUGCUCUGGACCCUUGCCCAUCUUGGCUGGUGAAGGCUGGCAGGACCGAAACCACCGGCUGGGCCAAAGAAGUGAUAAAUGCCUCCUUGAGAGAGGGAGUAGUCCCUGGUAGUCUCAAGGAGGCAGUAGUGAGACCUCUGUUAAAGAAACCUUCUUUGGACCCAGAUGUUCUUAACAACUAUAGACCGGUGGCGAAUGUCCCUUUCUUGGGCAAGGUUUUGGAGCGGGUGGUCGCCGGUCAGCUCCAGGCGCUCUUGGAUGAAACCGAUUAUCUGGAUCCGUUUCAAUCCGGUUUUAGGUCCGGUUUGGCACUGAAACAGCCUUGGUCGCCCUGUAUGAUGACCUUUGUCGGGAGAGGGACAGAGGGAGUGUGACUCUGUUGACUCUCCUUGAUCUCUCAGCGGCGUUUGAUACCAUCGACCUUGGUAUCCUUCUGGGGAGACUCGCGGAGUUGGGAGUUGGGGGCACUGCUUGGCAGUGGUUCUGCUCCUACUUAGCGGAUCGUCGCCAGAAGGUAGUGCUUGAACCUACCCGUUCACUUUGUUCAGUAUCUAAGGCCCACCUCCGGGUACCGUCUCACCAGGAUGCCCGGAGGAUUGUUACCAGAUCUAGGGCCUUUUCUGUAGUGGCCCCCGAAUUGUGGAACAGCUUACCUGAAGAGAUACGCCUGGCGCCUACGGUGCUUUCUUUUAGGCUCCAGGUUAAGACCUGGCUGUACUCCCAGGCUUUUUAAUGUUUUUAAUGUUUAUGUCUACGCUUUAUUUUAAUAUUGUUGUUGAUAUAUGUGAUUGAUUUUAUUAUAAUAUUGUAUUUUUAAUCUGUUUUGUACACCACCCAGAGAGCUAUUAGCCAUGGGCGGUCUAAAAAUGAAACAAAUAAAUAAAAAUAAAUAAAUAUAAUCCUGCUAUAAGUUCUUCAACACAAACUGCUGCCUGAAGCUGACUAUUGAAGCUGUUUCGUGUAUCCAGCCUAGUUGGAACUGUACAUUCUGCCCCAUCCGUGGCCGUGUGCAAAGCCUGUUUGGAACUGUGCAUUCUGCCCCAUCCGUGGCCGUGUACCAAGGCUGUUUGAAAUUGUACAUUCUGCGUAUACUCAGGCUGUCUGGAAUUGUACAUUCUGCCCCAUCCGUGGCCGUGUACCAAGGCUGUUUGAUCUGUAUAUUCUGCCCUAUCCGUGGCCGUGUACUUAGCCAUCUGAGCCGGUGCAUUUUGCCCCAUCCGUGGCCGUGUACUGAGCCUGUUCGGGUCUGUACAUUCUGCCCCAUCCGUGGCCGUGUACUGAACCCCCUAGAAAAUAUAUGAUGGCGGAACAGCCAGCGACAACUCAGGCAACCAAGCCGAAACAAUCUAAGGCGGCCAAGCAUAAGCACACCAAAGCGGUUGCCAAAACUAAACAUCUAUCCAGCCACAGCACAACCAAGCAGCCACGCUACGUCUCUGUUCCGGUUUCCGAGGGGGCGGGCCAGGAACAGUUAACGAAUCUAUUUCACUCUCCGACUGCUUCCUCCGAGGAGGAGGACUUUGCUGGGUUUCCUGACCAACCAGCAGCCAGCCACCCUCCUCCCGUAUUACCACCUAGGGCUUAUUCAUCUUCCCAGCCUGCUGAGCCGUCCAUAACGUUGCCUCUACAAGCGCAACCAUCUACCUCACCAGGGCUGCAGCUGUCUCAUGAGUUCAUAUCACAACUACAAGACAUGCUGUUGUUCUUCACUCAAACACAAUCACCGUCACAAGUCCCCGCCGUUCCUCAGCGCAGUGUGGACCACUAUGUACGCAAUGAGGCAGAUCCAUCAUGCUCUCCAAAUCCUUUUGACAUUGCCAGGGGCAGGUUUGUUGAUGACGUUUCUUGUUGGGAGGAGUCACCAUUUGCUGUGCAAGACGAAGGAGACGAAUGGAGUGAUCAUUCGGAACAUGAGGAGGAUACAUCUUAUCGCCUGUUUGAUGCCUUAGAUUAUCAGCCCCUUGCUCGCAGAGUAUUGAACACCCUUGGUCUCCAAUCUACCCAACCUGCAGCUGCCACUCCCGCUAUUAAAGGGGCCAGGGUCUUGAAAUCCCCCACACCAGCAGAGCACUACCUUCCUGUGCCAGAUCCUGGACGAAUGGUCUCAUCCAUUACAAACACGCUGUUUUAACGCCCUUGCGGACAGACUUUACUCUUUGGCUCCGGACUUUACAAGCAGACUGGCCGUCCCUGGCAUAGACGAGCCGCUCUCCAGAUCCCUUUUGCUGAGGGAAGGAGAUUCACAUUUAAAGGACGCCACUGAGCGGAGGCUGGACUUUGCCUUCUCAAGAAUCAUGAGGCCACCACUUUCUCCAUGCGAGCCUCUGCAUCAGCUUCCAUCUUUUCCAGGGCAGCAAUGAUGUGGUUGGAUGACCUCUUAGAUGAUCCUAAUCCCAAUCCUGUCUCUCUGAGGAGGUCACUGAUGAAAUUGCGCAAGACAGCGGCGUUUGUGGCUGAUGCCACCUUGGACGCAAAUCAGCUGGGAACACGAGCUAUGGCAGCUCAGGUAGUCGCUCGAUGGACCCUCUGGCUUCGUCACUGGCAAGCGGACUCUGCAGCCAGAGUUAAUUUAUCAAGGGCACCUUAUUCCGGCUCAUUACUCUUUGGCGAGGAAGCCCUAAAGGCAGUGCUUGUUGACCCCAAGGAUGCUCGAAAGCCUGUCUUGGCCACUGUCAGGAAUGUUGAUCGCAGGCCUUUCAGACGUUUCACCUCAUACCGCACGACCCAGCCCUUUCGAGGAACGCGGCCCGGGGGACGAGGCCGCGAUUUCCGAACCUAUGAUUUCCGUCCCUCCAGGGGAGUCUGGAACAGACUUUUCCCAGGCAGAGGUCAGUACCAGGGGCGCAGAGGUACCUCAACGUCCUCAUAUAGGGGAGGGUCUCGCCAGCACAGACGGUACUGACGCGAUACCGGUUGGGGGCAGACUGCUUCUGUUUGGAGACCAUUGGCUGUGUCUGACUCAGGUCGCCUGGAUCAAAGAUCUUUUUUGUUAUUUAUUUAUUUAAUUACAUUUCUAGACUGCCCUAUAGCAGAAAGCUCUAUGGCUAUGCACUAGAGUUUUCGGCAAUCCCUCCGGACAGAUUUCAUCCCUCCCCUUGUCCCAGGGCACCAGCCAGGCACUGCAUCAUGCAGACAGCCAUACAUCACCUCUUGGACACAGCGGCGAUAGAGCCAGUCCCUACAACAGAGAGGUCGGAAGGGGUGUACUCCCUCCUAUUUGCUGUGCCCAAACGAGAUCUGUCAUGGAGGGCGGUGUUGGACCUCAAGUUCAUCAACCGUUUUGUAAAGUAUCGCAGGUUCAAAAUGGAAUCCCUCCACUCCAUUACAGAAAGCCUUCAAGAAGGAGACUUCCUGGCUUCUAUCGACCUAAAGGAAGCGUAUCUCCAUGUGCCUAUUUGCAUAGCCCACAGAAAAUUCCUUCGGUUUGCUUUCGGCCCCCAGCAUUUUCAAUAUUGAGCGAUGCCGUUUGGCCUCUCAUCUGCCCCGAGAGUAUUUACCAAGGUGCUACUCAUACUAGUGGCUUACCUCCGGCUUCAAGGGGUCCAUAUCUACCCCUACUUGGACAAUUUUUUAAUACGGGCGAGUUCCAGGGAGCUGGCUCAUCACCAUCUAACGCUCACGCUCCAUGUCUUGCAGGCCUACGGCUGGUAGUCCAUUUCAACAAAAGUCAUCUCCAACCAACCCAACGCCUACAACAUCUAGGGGCGAUGUUGGACACCCUGCAGGCGACGGUGUUCCUGUCUCCAGACCGCAUAACUGCUAUCACAGACAUCGCACGGUCUCUGAUGCACCACGCAACCGCAGACAUCAUGCUUCUAGCCAGGGCUCUCGGAAUGUUGGUGUCCACCAUCCAUAUUGUGCCAUGGGCUCAAGCUCAAACUCGCCAACUCCAGUGGGCUUUGUUGCCGUUUCAGCAGGACAUUGCCAGGUGAAAUCAUCGAGCAAUUCCCCUGAGCCCCGCACUGCGUCUUUCAUUCCGCUGGUGGACGAGGGUCCAACAUCUCACCCAGGGCACCCCGUUCAGAGAACCCCGCAGGACUGUUAUCACCACAGAUGCCAGUCUCCUCGGCUGGGGAGCCCACUGCAACUCCCAGUUCGUUCAGGGGGUUUGGACUACAGCAGAGCAGACUCAGAGCAUCAAUUGGCUAGAACUGAAGGCUGUCCACUUAGCUCUGCUCCAUUUUCAGUCUCUGUUCCACUUGGACCAUGUUCUCAUUCGAACGGACAACACGUGUGCCAAAUCUCAUUCAAACAGACAAGGGGGGACCAGGUCCCGUCCUCUGCAGAACCUAUUCGACUGGGCAGAGCAACAUCUGCAAUCCUUAAAAGCAGAACAUCUCAGAGGAAUUUGGAAUGUGACAGCAGACUGGCUCAGCAGACAACAGGUCUUUCCGGGAGAAUGGAAACUUCAUCCGACCAUUUUCUAUCUUCUCCAGUGUCGGUUCGGUGUCUUCUCAAUCGAUCUAUUUGCCUCCAGUCGCAAUUGCCAGUUACCCAGGUACUUCGCUCGAUACCUGGACACGACAGCGGAAGCGGUGGAUGCCCUGUCGCUACCGUGGCCGGAUGGCUUAUUGUACGCCUUCCCUCCAAUACCACUGUUAGCCAGAACCUUGAGAAAGGCGCGACGCGAGAGGACCAAGCUGGUUCUGAUAGCUCCAUAUUAGCCCCGUCGACCGUGGUUCUCGGAUCUCCUUGCCAUGUCAGUGAUGGACCCUUGGACGCUCCCAGUCAGGCCAGACGUCUUAUCCCAGGGCCCAAUAUUGCAUCAGGAUCCCAAUUGGCUCAAGCUAACAGCAUGGCUUUUGAAUGGGGACAUUUAAGGUCUGCUGGCCUGUCUGACGCUGUUAUUGACAUUAUCUUGGCCUCGAGACAACCAUCCACCACCCGUAUAUAUCAACAUACUUGGGUGGCAUUCUCCAGGUGGUGUCAGUCCCAGCACCUCGAUCCUUCCCAGGCCACAAUACAACAGGUGCUGCAAUUCCUUCAUAGGGGCCUCCUGAUGGGACUUAGACCCAACACGUAGACAUGCGUCCACUCUGUCGUCCAUUCUCUCAGUGUCCUCUGCUGGUGCUCCUAUUGCCUCGCACCCGUUCAUCAGACGUUUUCUGAGGUGAACCACGUUACACUCACUGGCUGUAUUCCAUCAUUUUCCCUCAUGGAGUUUGUCGAAGGUCCUACAGGCUUUACAACGCCCUCCGUUUGAGCCCCUUAGGACUGUGCCUUUAUGUCUGUUGUCAUUCAAGGUCCUGUUCCUGAUCGCGAUCACCUCUGCGAGACGAGUUUCGGAACUGGGCGCAUUGUCUUCUGCCCGCCAUCUCUGUGUCUUUCACAAGGACUCUGUUGUGCUGAAGACUGAUCCUUCCGUCCCAAGGUCAAUUCAGUUUUCCAUUGCAACCAGGACAUUGUUCUUCCUUCAUUUUGUCCGAAUCCUACCCAUCCUCUAGAGAAGGCUUGGCAUUCAUUGGAUGUUCGGAGGGCUCUCAAGACCUACCUGUCUAGGACCCAGGAUAUACAACGAACUGAGUCUUUGUUUGUAUCCUUUCAUCCACGUUCUAUGGGGCAUAAAGUAGCUAAUUCCACCUUAUCCCGCUGGUUGCGUGCAUGUAUUACCUUAGCCUAUGAGUCCCUUAAGCUUCCAGUUCCAGCUAGUAUAACAGCUCAUUCCACUAGGUCAGCGGCCACUACGGCUGCUUUUGCUACCAACGCUCCUGUUGCUGAUAUUUGCAGAGCUGCUGUUUGGUCUACCCCACACUCGUUUAUAAGGCAUUACAAAAUAGAUCGUUAUGCCUCUGCCGAUGCCUCUUUUGGCAGACGAGUGUUGCAACAGGUUCUUAAUGAUGAUUAGGAUGUGGGUGGUCCCUCCCUGUUAUGGGCUGCUUUGGUACAUCUCGCUUGAUGGCAGUCCUCCUAUGGAAAAUGGACCAUUGGUCUCAUCUGAAGGGUGAUUUUCAUAGGAGGACUGCCAUCACGACCCUCCCAGUUGGAGGAUACCUAGAUAUUUUUUGGGUUUUUUUCAUAUAUUCCUGUUACGCUAUUAUAUUAGAUUUACUAGUGAAGUCAAGACUGCUAUUAAUGUUAUAUCGCUACGUUAGAGUCAUAUUAUUAUGAUUAUUGCUAUUGUGUUAUGUCUUUGCUGGUAGGCCCGUUGGCCUUUUCUCCUGCAGUUUUAGAUAUCUCCCUUUGGACUCGCUGUGAAUGAACUGGAGAGUGGGAGGGGCCUGACGCCCCUAGUCUUGACUUCAAAAACGUUCUUGCCUUCGGACGAUAGGUGGAGCUAUAACCGCUUGAUGGCAGUCCUCCUAUGAAAAUCACCCUUCAGGUGAGACCAAUGGUCCAUUUUCACUGGGAUUGUCAAAUGAUGUCUGUGGCAUGCAGUGUUUUCUACCAGGUUCAAGAUUACCUGAGGCGGUUUGAAAGUAUACCAGAUAUGCUAGAAUUGGAUCAUCUGACUGUUUCAGGCGAUGUCACAUUUGG